GCUAUCGUGGUGUAGUGGUCAGCACACCCGACGCGCACCCGAGAGGUCCGUGGUUCGAUUCCUGGCGAAGGCU
rnacentral:tRNA from 1 species